CAGUCGCCGCGGUAAUACGUAGGGUGCGAGCGUUAAUCGGAAUUACUGGGCGUAAAGCGUGCGCAGGCGGUUCGUUAAGACAGGUGUGAAAUCCCCGGGCUUAACCUGGGAACUGCGCUUGUGACUGCACAGCUAGAGUAUGGCAGAGGGGGGUGGAAUUCCACGUGUAGCAGUGAAAUGCGUAGAGAUGUGGAGGAACACCGAUGGCGAAGGCAGCCCCCUGGGCCAAUACUGACGCUCAUGCACGAAAGCGUGGGGAGCAAACAGGAUUAGAUACCCGCGUAGUCCCUGUCUCUUAUAC
rnacentral:rRNA from 1 species